rnacentral:tRNA from 1 species
GCCUGGCUAGCUCAGUCGGUAGAGCAUGAGACUCUUAAUCCUCAGAGUCGGGGGUUCGAGCCCCCCGUUGGGCG